GUCCUGAUAGUAUAAACAUUACACUGGUCUUGUAAACCAGAAAUGAAAAUUUAUUUUUCUCAGGACA
rnacentral:tRNA from 1 species